rnacentral:rRNA from 1 species
AAGGAAUAUUGGACAAUGGAGGCAACUCUGAUCCAGCCAUGCCGCGUGAAGGAAUAAGGCCCUAUGGGUUGUAAACUUCUUUUAGACGGGACAAAACCCCUUUACGUGUAAAGGGUUGAUGGUACUGUCAGAAUAAGCAUCGGCUAACUUCGUGCCAGCAGCCGCGGUAAUACGAAGGAUGCAAGCGUUAUCCGGAAUUAUUGGGUUUAAAGGGUGCGUAGGCGGACUAAUAAGUCAGUGGUGAAAGCCUGCAGCUUAACUGCAGAAUUGCCAUUGAUACUGUUAGUCUUGAGUACAGUUGAGGUAGGCGGAAUGUGUCAUGUAGCGGUGAAAUGCUUAGAUAUGAUACAGAACACCGAUUGCGAAGGCAGCUUGCUAAGCUGUAACUGACGCUGAGGCACGAAAGCGUGGGGAGCAAACA